UGCUCUGGUGUAGCCCUCGACCACGCGACAACGGAUGCGCUGGCGACGUCCCGGAGGUCUCUUGGCUCCCGGCUUGGCCAGACGCAGCAGAUGACCUUGAUUUGCCACACCGGACGAAGCGCACCCCACCGACACCACGAGGGACUGCUACAUCGCCACCCGAAGAUCCGUUUCACGAGCCACCACCUUGGCUCUUACAACUGCGCCCCCUGGUUCUACCGUUAUCAAGCCACCAGAUAACGUCGCCUUUCACCCAGGACUAUAUAAGUGUGACACCGUGCAGCGCGGCAUUCUAUGGGCUCGGUGGCACGACAGCCAUGACAACAGCCGCUUACCUGCGACGCCUUUUCGUUCUGCAGGUUCUGCUCUGGUGUAGCCCUCGACCACGCGACAACGGAUGCGCUGGCGACGUCCCGGAGGUCUCUUGGCUCCCGGCUUGGCCAGACGCAGCAGAUGACCUUGAUUUGCCACACCGGACGAAGCGCACCCCACCGACACCACGAGGGACUGCUACAUCGCCACCCGAAGAUCCGUUUCACGAGCCACCACCUUGGCUCUUACAACUGCGCCCCCUGGUUCUACCGUUAUCAAGCCACCAGAUAACGUCGCCUUUCACCCAGGACUAUAUAAGUGUGACACCGUGCAGCGCGGCAUUCUAUGGGCUCGGUGGCACGACAGCCAUGACAACAGCCGCUUACCUGCGACGCCUUUUCGUUCUGCAGCAAUCAUUGUCAUCAGGAGUGGUGCCGGAAGACUGGAGAGUAGGCAAGAUUGUUCCAGUCCCCAAAAAAGCUAUACUACCAGCUCAUCGUCAGUCCAGCCGCAUUAGCCACAGCAAAGCCGUGUAUCCUCCCCCGGCGCAGACUACCUCUCAUCUACGAUCAUUUUUUGUGAAAACCGCCAGGGACUGGAACGGUCUGUCUGCCGACAUCACGCACCACUCCGACACUCAUCACUUCAAGGCUGCUCUAGAAUCACUGUUUGUUAAAGCCCAUCCCUCAUGUAAUACCCCAUCUCUGGGGCCUUUGAGGUAU